ACCCCCACCGUAUAAAAUCAGAUAGCUACGAGCUCAUUGUAGUCGUUACAGCAAACACACAUCGGACAACAAAAAUCCCCAAAAUCUAACCAUGGAACCCUCGCCGCCGCCGCCGGAGAUCUCGGGCUCUAGACCAGAAUCGUCAUCAUCAUCGGUAGUAGAGCCCGAGCAAGGAGUAGAGGAGAUGACUCUAACCGUGAAGUGGAGCGGCAAGGAGUUCACCGUUAGGGUUUGCGGCGACGACAACGUGGCCGAGCUCAAGCGCCGAAUCUGCGAGGCGACGACCGUCCUCCCUAAGCGCCAAAAGCUUCUCUAUCCGAAGAUGGCGUCCAAGCUCGGCGACGAUUCGGUCCUCCUCUCCCAGCUCAACCUCAAGCCCUCGGUCAAGAUGACCAUGAUCGGCACCAUCGAGGAUGAUAUAAUUGUGGAUCAAGUAGAUUCACCAGAGGUCGUUGAUGAUUUUGAGCUCGGCCUAGACGAGGUUGUUGACAUUAAAGAUAAAGAUGCUAACAAACAAAAAUUGAGGCGACGCAUCAGCCAGUAUAAGAUCAGGAAACUGAACGACUGUCGUGAAGGAAAGAAGCUGCUCGUUUUGGAUAUUGAUUAUACUCUAUUCGACCAUAGAUCCCCAGCCGAGAACCCACUUGAACUCAUGCGACCUUAUCUUCAUGAAUUUUUGUCUGCUGUCUAUGUAGAGUAUGAUAUUAUGAUAUGGUCUGCAACCAGCAUGAAAUGGGUAGAACUAAAGAUGGGACAGCUUGGGGUUCUGGAUAAUCCUAACUACAAAAUAACGGCUCUUUUAGAUCAUUUAGCCAUGAUCACCGUACAGUCUGAUAAACACGGGACCUUUGAGUGCAAGCCACUUGGCCUUAUUUGGGCUUAUUUUCCUGAGUUCUACAAUGAAGGGAAUACCAUCAUGUUUGAUGAUCUUAAAAGGAAUUUCGUAAUGAAUCCACAAAAUGGGCUCACGAUUAGACCUUUCAGGAAAGCCCAUUUGAAUCGUAACAGUGAUCAGGAGCUGGUCAAACUCACUCGGUAUUUGCUAGCUAUUGCUGAGCUCCCUGAUCUGAGCUCACUUGAUCACAGGAUCUGGGAACGCUUUAUAGAAGAUAGCACUAAGAGACGCAGACACAGUUAAAAACUGUGUGGUUAUAGGAUAUCUCAGCGCUUAUGCAUCAAACGCUGAUAAAUUAUUGAUCACUCAUCACAGGAUGUUGAUACGGAUACAAUAUUUAUAUCUAAAUAAAAGGUAUGGAGGUAAGUACAAUAUCAAUAUUUUUAUCUAUAUAUCUCCAAAUAUGCGUUGAACAGUAUUUGAAAUUGUAACGACCUUAAAUUAAUGGCUCUGAACUCAAUUCUGAAGAUCCAUCAAACCCUAAGUUUUAGAUGUGUUGAAUAUAUUGAUGAAGGCUAAUUUGAGAAAUUUUGUUUUCUCUAGCUAUGUUUUUUGUAACACAUGGUCUGUAUAUUUUCCAAUUAAUUUGUUGUCUCGUA